rnacentral:rRNA from 1 species
ACGAACGCUGGCGGCGUGCUUAACACAUGCAAGUCGAACGGUGAAGCGCCUUCCUUUUUGGUGGGUGUGGAUGAGUGGCGAACGGGUGAGUAACACGUGAGUAACCUGCCCCCUUCUUCUGGAUAACCGCAUGAAAGUGUGGCUAAUACGGGAUAUUCUGGGUCUGUCGCAUGAUGGGUCUGGGAAAGAUAUUGUUUCGGUGGGGGAUGGGCUCGCGGCCUAUCAGCUUGUUGGUGGGGUGAUGGCCUACCAAGGCGGUGACGGGUAGCCGGCCUGAGAGGGUGGACGGUCACACUGGGAAUGAGACACGGCCCAGACUCCUACGGGAGGCAGCAGUGGGGAAUAUUGCACAAUGGGCGCAAGCCUGAUGCAGCGACGCCGCGUGAGGGAUGGAGGCCUUCGGGUUGUGAACCUCUUUCGCCAGUGAAGCAGGCCUGCCUCGUUUGUGGGUGGGUUGACGGUAGCUGGAGAAGAAGCGCCGGCUAACUACGUG